UACGGAGGAUCCGAGCGUUAUCCGGAUUUAUUGGGUUUAAAGGGAGCGUAGGUGGAUUGAUAAGUUAGAGGUGAAAUGUCCGAGCUCAACUCGGGAACUGCCUCUAAUACUGUUGAUCUAGAGAGUAGAUGCGGUAGGCGGAAUGUAUGGUGUAGCGGUGAAAUGCUUAGAGAUCAUACAGAACACCGAUUGCGAAGGCAGCUUACCAAUCUAUAUCUGACGUUGAGGCACGAAAGCGUGGGGAGCAAACAGG
rnacentral:rRNA from 1 species